GUUUGAUCCUGGCUCAGGAUGAACGCUGGCGGCGUGCUUAACACAUGCAAGUCGAACGAACCUUCGGGUUAGUGGCGGACGGGUGAGUAACGCGUGAGAAUCUGCCCUCAGGAGGGGGAUAACGGCUGGAAACGGCCGCUAAUACCCCAUAUGCCGAGAGGUGAAACGAGUUUUCGCCUGAGGAUGAGCUCGCGUCUGAUUAGCUAGUUGGUGGGGUAAGAGCCUACCAAGGCAUCGAUCAGUAGCUGGUCUGAGAGGAUGAUCAGCCACACUGGGACUGAGACACGGCCCAGACUCCUACGGGAGGCAGCAGUGGGGAAUUUUCCGCAAUGGGCGAAAGCCUGACGGAGCAACGCCGCGUGAGGGAUGAAGGCCUCUGGGCUGUAAACCUCUUUUAUCAGGGAAGAAAAUCUGACGGUACUUGAUGAAUAAGCCACGGCUAAUUCCGUGCCAGCAGCCGCGGUAAUACGGGAGUGGCAAGCGUUAUCCGGAAUUAUUGGGCGUAAAGCGUCCGCAGGCGGCCUGAUAAGUCUGUUGUCAAAGCGUGGAGCUCAACUCCAUUUCGGCAAUGGAAACUGUGAGGCUUGAGUGUGGUAGGGGCAGAGGGAAUUCCCGGUGUAGCGGUGAAAUGCGUAGAUAUCGGGAAGAACACCAGUGGCGAAGGCGCUCUGCUGGGCCAUAACUGACGCUCAUGGACGAAAGCCAGGGGAGCGAAAGGGAUUAGAUACCCCUGUAGUCCUGGCCGUAAACGAUGAACACUAGGUGUCGGGGGAAUCGACCCCCUCGGUGUCGUAGCCAACGCGUUAGGUGUUCCGCCUGGGGAGUACGCACGCAAGUGUGAAACUCAAAGGAAUUGACGGGGGCCCGCACAAGCGGUGGAGUAUGUGGUUUAAUCCGAUGCAACGCGAAGAACCUUACCAGGGUUUGACAUCCUGCGAAUCCCUUGGAAACGAGGGAGUGCCUUCGGGAGCGCAGAGACAGGUGGUGCAUGGCUGUCGUCAGCUCGUGUCGUGAGAUGUUGGGUUAAGUCCCGCAACGAGCGCAACCCACGUCUUUAGUUGCCAGCAUUGAGUUGGGCACUCUAGAGAGACCGCCGGUGAUAAACCGGAGGAAGGUGUGGAUGACGUCAAGUCAUCAUGCCCCUUACAUCCUGGGCUACACACGUACUACAAUGCUACGGACAAAGGGCAGCAAACUCGCGAGAGCUAGCAAAUCCCAUAAACCGUGACUCAGUUCAGAUCGUAGGCUGCAACUCGCCUACGUGAAGGAGGAAUCGCUAGUAAUCGCAGGUCAGCAUACUGCGGUGAAUACGUUCCCGGGCCUUGUACACACCGCCCGUCACACCAUGGAAGUUGGCCACGCCCGAAGCCGUUACUCCAACCCUUGUGGAGGAGGACGUCGAAGGUGGGGCUGAUGACUGGGGUGAAGUCGUAACAAGGUA
rnacentral:rRNA from 1 species